AUUGAACGCUGGCGGCAGGCCUAACACAUGCAAGUCGAGCGAGCGGCGGACGGGUGAGUAAUGUCUGGGAAACUGCCUGAUGGAGGGGGAUAACUCCUGGAAACGGUAGCUCAUACCGCAUACCAUCAAAUGUGCCCAGAUGGGAUUAGCUAGUAGGUGGGGGAACGGCGCCCCUAGGCGACGAUCCCUAGCUGGUCUGAGAGGAUGACCAGCCACACUGGAACUGAGACACGGUCCAGACUCCUACGGGAGGCAGCAGUGGGGAAUAUUGCACAAUGGGCGCAAGCAUGAUGCAGCCAUGCCGCGUGUGUGAAGAAGGCCUUCGGGUUGUAAAGCACUUUCAGCGGGGAGGCGUUACCCGCAGAAGAAGCACCGGCUAACUCCGUGCCAGCAGCCGCGGUAAUUC
rnacentral:rRNA from 1 species